UACGAGGGGGGCAAGCGUUGUCCGGAAUUAUUGGGCGUAAAGAGCUCGUAGGCGGUUUGUCGCGUCUGCUGUGAAAACGCGAGGCUCAACCUCGCGCCUGCAGUGGGUACGGGCAGACUAGAGUGCGGUAGGGGAGAUUGGAAUUCCUGGUGUAGCGGUGGAAUGCGCAGAUAUCAGGAGGAACACCGAUGGCGAAGGCAGAUCUCUGGGCCGUAACUGACGCUGAGGAGCGAAAGCGUGGGGAGCGAACAGG
rnacentral:rRNA from 1 species